CGGGCGCGGGCCCGAGUACGUGUCUGAGGGGGAGGCGGCGGUGGCGGCGGGGCCGGUGCGGAGUAGCCGCGGGGAGCGGGAUCGGCUCCAGCACCAACACCGGAGCGGUUUUAAUUAGACUUCGGUCGGCCCGGGUUUUAUCGGGAGCGGAUUUUAAAAGCGCCUCUCGUCCCUCUCCCUCUGCGGACGGGGCACCAUGUCGGAAACAGAGCAGCAGCUGGCGGCCGGCGCCACCCAGAACGGGCACGAAGCGGCCGAGAGCGCUGGGGAGCAGCAGGCCGAGACCGGCGGGGCUCCGGCAGCGGCGGCGGCGGCAGGAGCGGCGGGAGCAGCGGCGGCGGCGGGAGCCGGCCCAGCAGCGGGAACAGCGGGCACGGCCGCCAGCCAGAAUGGGGCUGAGGGCGAUCAGAUCAACGCCAGCAAGAACGAGGAGGACGCGGGGAAGAUGUUUGUUGGUGGCCUCAGUUGGGAUACAAGCAAAAAAGACUUGAAAGAUUACUUCACCAGAUUUGGUGAGGUAACUGACUGUACGAUAAAGAUGGACCCUAACACAGGAAGAUCCAGAGGCUUUGGAUUUAUUCUCUUCAAAGAACCUGGGAGUGUUGAAAAGGUUCUGGAACAGAAAGAACACAGACUAGAUGGACGACUAAUUGAUCCCAAGAAGGCCAUGGCAAUGAAAAAGGAUCCAGUGAAGAAAAUAUUUGUUGGUGGACUAAACCCAGAAGCCACAGAAGAGAAAAUCAGGGAAUACUUUGGAGAGUUUGGAGAGAUUGAAGCAAUUGAACUGCCAAUGGAUCCAAAGACCAACAAAAGGAGGGGGUUUGUGUUCAUCACUUUCAAGGAAGAGGAUCCAGUGAAGAAGGUUUUGGAGAAGAAAUUCCAUAACGUCAGUGGAAGCAAGUGUGAGAUUAAGGUAGCACAGCCGAAAGAAGUGUACCAGCAGCAACAGUUCAGUAGUGGUGGAGGAAGAGGUAGCUAUGGAGGAAGAGGCAGAGGUGGAAGAGGCGGCGCUCAAAGUCAAAAUUGGAAUCAAGGUUAUGGCAAUUACUGGAACCAGGGUUAUGGGAAUCAAGGAUACGGCUAUCAGCAAGGUUAUGGUGGCUAUGGAGGCUAUGAUUAUUCAGGAUAUGGGUAUUAUGGAUAUGGACCAGGCUAUGAUUACAGUCAAGGCAGUGCAAAUUAUGGGAAGACACCAAGACGUGGUGGUCAUCAGAAUAACUACAAGCCAUAUUGAUCAAACUUAUUCAGGAGGCAUGGUUGGCUUUACCUCAUGGAAAAUAUUGUGCUUUCAUAAGCAGGCCUGGCAGUGGUCACAGUUGAUGCCUACAAGCACUGGAUAUUCCACAAGUUGAAGACGGAAUACUGACUUGUUUACCUGAAGAUAAUAGGACUUCGGGGUAUUUCCUCAGAGAAAAUAUAAAUUUUAAUAUAAUUUCAUAAGCUUUGGAGGUUAGCUUGUCUUGUAGCUUCAGUGAUAUCAAACUUCUUCAAGUAGGAGCUAGAUAGAAAGCUGUUUAGUUUUUGCCAGCGUAUGUAAAACAAGACUUUUCUAUCUGCAUUGUAGAUUGUUUGUGGACACUUCCAGAUUCUUGUGCUUUCUGCAGUCAUUCUGGGGACUGAACUCUCAUUGAUAUUGAAAGAAGUUCCAUGAACACAACAUGUGCAGGAAUUUGAGUGUAGAAGCCCACAGCAUGGUUUGGAAUAGUGAACCGAUUUUAGUUUGGAGAUGACUGGGGGAGAUGGGAAGAGCAACUGUACAUUAAGGGAACAAUUACAGAUCUUCCUGGUAACAUCAAUGAGAGAUUUGCCUUCAACCUUUCACAGAAAAUUUUUUAGCUUUAAUUUGGGAUAUUAAAGGGGUUUUUCAAAAGCACUAAAGGCCAGUGGAAGCUUGUAAGCUGCUCCUUAUGCCUUUAAAAACCCCUACACCAAAAGUGAUAGCUGAGAACCUGAAAUGGAAGUAAAUAAAAUGCAUUUUCAUUGCUGUUUUGAGUUACAUAA